GNCCUUUAAACAUCGNCCACGAUGCCCUAUAUUCCUCGUGUCAGCUUGCUGACUAUGGCGAUAAACGCGCUCGUAAUAACCAGACCGGACCCGGGGGCAGUACCCGGCGGCUCCACCAUUACCUUCCGCUUGUAUUGGCAAGCGAAUAUGGGGCCGAAACAGGAUCGACGGAUGGGUAAAGGAGACUGCUUUUGCCCGGGUGAGGCCCGAUACAGGCUCAUUCUUAAAGUUGCCAAUGACAACUUUGCUGAAGAAGUCCGUCUCGCUGCCUAGUCAGCGCGUCUAACUUCGACAUGAACUCCUGGGUGUUCGCACGCUCAGGCGGGGUCCGGAGGCACCUGGCAACAGAAGCCUCCACU
rnacentral:tmRNA from 12 species